GACGAACGCUGGCGGCGUGCUUAACACAUGCAAGUCGAACGAAGAGCGAUGGAAGCUUGCUUCUAUCAAUCUUAGUGGCGAACGGGUGAGUAACGCGUAAUCAACCUGCCCUUCAGAGGGGGACAACAGUUGGAAACGACUGCUCAUACCGCAUACGAUCUAAACUCGGCAUCGAGGAUAGAUGAAAGGUGGCCUCUACAUGUAAGCUACCACUGCAGGAGGGGAUUGCGUCUGUUUAGCUAGGUGGAGGGGUAACGGCCCACCAAGGCGAGGAUCAGUAGCCGGUCUGAGAGGAUGAACGGCCACAUUGGGACUGAGACACGGCCCAGACUCCUACGGGAGGCAGCAGUGGGGAAUCUUCCGCAAUGGACGAAAGUCUGACGGAGCAACGCCGCGUGAGUGAUGACGGCCUUCGGGUUGUAAAGCUCUGUUAAUCGGGACGAAAGGCCUUCUUGCGAAUAGGGAGAAGGAUUGACGGUACCGGAAUAGAAAGCCACGGCUAACUACGUG
rnacentral:rRNA from 1 species